AAGUAAGAAGCGAUCAAUUGCAAUCAGUUUCGACCUGACCUUAGAUAAGAAGAACUUAUCCUUAUUUA
rnacentral:tRNA from 1 species